UGGCGGAUAGCCAGUCAGGAGCUAUGGGUGCGCCGUUUGUAACAGGUUUUUAUAGGGGUCCACUCUUGCAUGUGGGUUCUGCAUGAACACGGGGCUGUCCACGCAAUUGCUUCACACCUCGACGGGGCCGGGCCAUUGGAUUUAGCCGCCUGAUUCUGGUUGUGUAGUUAGUUGUGCGAAACUGUUGUGUUACGAAGAUUCUUCGGCGUGGUCUUCGACGAGUCUAUGAAUGCCACGACAUGUCUGGGACCUGCCCUGUUAAAACUAGUUUGGAACGCUUGCGCAGCAACGAAGCAGUCCUGAAGGAGACGUACUGUUGGGGACACGGUUGUUUAAAAUCUCCAGCCCGUG